rnacentral:misc_RNA from 1 species
GAAAUGCGAUAAGUAGUGUGAAUUGCAGAAUUCAGUGAAUCAUCGAAUCUUUGAACGCACAUUGUGCCCUUUGGUAUUCCUUAGGGCAUGCCUGUUCGAGCGUCAUUUGUAACCUCAAGCUCAGCUUGGUGUUGGGUGUCUGUCCCCGCCCCGCGCGGGGACUCGCCUCAAAAACAUUGGCGGCCGGUACGUUGGCUUCGAGCGCAGCAGAAACGCGAACUCGAGGCCCGACGGAUCGGCGACCAGAAGUCACUUCUUCCACAGCUUGACCUCGGAUCAGGUAGGGAUACCCGCUGAACUUAAGC